rnacentral:tRNA from 1 species
GCCAGCGUGGUGUAGUGGUUUGAAUGUUGGACUACAACCCUGGAGACCAGGGUUCUAUUCCCAGUUUGGCC